rnacentral:rRNA from 1 species
UACGUAGGGGGCAAGCGUUGUCCGGAAUCAUUGGGCGUAAAGCGCGUGUAGGCGGCUCGAUAAGUCUGCUGUGAAAGUCCAGGGCUCAACCCUGGGAUGCCGGUGGAUACUGUCGAGCUCGAGUCCGGAAGAGGCGAGUGGAAUUCCUGGUGUAGCGGUGAAAUGCGUAGAUAUCGGGAGGAACACCUGUGGCGAAAGCGGCUCUCUGGUACGUGACUGACGCUGAGACGCGAAAGCGUGGGGAGCGAACAGG